rnacentral:lncRNA from 1 species
GGGCGCGGCAGUGGGAUGACUCAUAUUUGGAGUUGCCUAGCUACAGCCAGGAGUUGUUUUCUUUAGACUCAGAGCGAGAGUACAGUGUGUAUGUCUGGAUUUCAUUGAGAGAGCAAGGCUUUGUGGGGGCGGCAUUAUCGCAGGGGUGGCACCGAGCAGGAAACAGGAGGAGCACAAAUGUUCCCAAAGAGGAGAAGAAAUCACUGGAGUGUGGAGGAGGUUGCCUUCAAAUAACGAGUCAUUGUCGAACAGAAGGCCACAACUUGGACACAUACUGUGGAGGUGGUGAUUACUGGAAAAAGCAAAAUGGUGAUCUGCCUCCUGAGAAUCAGAGAGAAGAACAGUGGUAAAAUGAGGAUGUGUACGCUUGUGUACAUGUAUGUAGCCGUAAGUGGGAGUACACGUGUGCGGGAACACUUGUAUCUCACUCCUCCACUGACAUGCCUGUACAGUGGCUUAUCAUCAGAACCAGCCCGGUGACACUUGCAGCCGAGGAGAGGGCGAUGGUCGCCUUUUUCCAAUUAGUCAGCGGCCUGGGGCAAGGUGAGAGUUUCCUCACAAACAGCCACUGACAGUGCCCCUCGCGUUCGCUUCACCUCAUUCAAGAGAAAACACACACAUCCAAAGUAUUUGAAAUUAUUUGUACAAUUCCUGUUAAUGUAGUCGGGCUAGUCGUUGGGCUGUUUUUCUAAUAGCGUUUAGCAAUCACAGGGCAGGGUGCGACAUUGUGUAAGACAGAGAAGGAAUGAGCGGAGUGAGACAGUCAACCACAGACAGGGAGCUUUACUAUUGUGUAAAGCAGCAGUGACUUGGCUGUGGUCAGGCUCACUCCUCUGGCAUGUCGGCACUGCUCUACCGGCUUUGUUUCACACACUCAUGUUGAAAUACUCACUGAGACUAUUCACAACCCCCUUAAUUAAGGGAUUCUGACAUUACUCAACCCGAAAUAGCACUAUGUCCUUCUUUAGGC